rnacentral:rRNA from 1 species
AACGUAGGACACAAGCGUUAUCCGGAGUUACUGGGCGUAAAGGGCGUGUAGGCGGAUCGGUAAGUCUACUCUGAAAGCUCCUGGCUAAACUGGGGGAGGCGAGUGGAGACUGUCGGUCUAGAGUGAGGAAGAGGAAAGUGGAAUUCCGCGUGUAGUGGUGAAAUGCGUAGAGAUGCGGAGGAACACCAGUGGCGAAGGCGGCUUUCUGGUCCUUAACUGACGCUGAGGCGCGAAAGCAUGGGGAGCGAACGGG